GAUGAGAACGUAGCGAAAUGCGAUAAGUAAUGUGAAUUGCAGAAUUCAGUGAAUCAUCGAAUCUUUGAACGCACCUUGCGCUCCUUGGUAUUCCGAGGAGCAUGCCUGUUUGAGUGUCAUUAAUAUAUCAACCUUCUCUUUUUUGAGUUGUUUGGAUGUGGGGGUUUGCUGGCCUCUUAAAUGAUUCAGCUCCCCUGAAAUGCAUUAGCAGAACAACCUGUUCAUUGGCGUGAUAAUUAUCUAUGCUAUUGAAUGUGAGGGCAGUUCAGCUUUCUAACCGUCCUUGGACAAUUCAUCAUUAAUGUGACCUCAAAUCAGGUAGGACUACCCGCUGAACUUAAGCAUAUCAAUAAGCGGAGGA
rnacentral:misc_RNA from 1 species